CUGCGCGUCGUCGUCCGCGAUCGAUCCGAGCGCGCCCCUACCGCUCCGCGCCUCGGUUCGGUUCCGCCGCGCCUCGCGAUCUCUGGCCCACUCGGCUCGAUCGUGCUCUUCGCGGACGCGAUCGAUUUGAAGGGUGAGGCAAUGAAGAGUGGGGAGAGUGGUAGGGAAUGGCAACUUCAGAUCCCGGAGGAAUCCCCUGUACAUACUGCUCUCUUCUUGGUCUUGGAGGAGAUAACCUGA
rnacentral:misc_RNA from 1 species